rnacentral:rRNA from 1 species
UACGGAGGGUGCAAGCGUUGCUCGGAAUUAUUGGGCGUAAAGGGUCGGUAGGUGGUCCUAUUUGUCUGAGGUGAAAGCCUUGAGCUUAACUCGAGAAGUGCCUCAGAAACGGUGAGACUAGAGUCCUGGAGAGGGUCGUGGAAUUCCCGGUGUAGCGGUGAAAUGCGUAGAGAUCGGGAGGAACACCAGAGGCGAAAGCGGCGACCUGGACAGGUACUGACACUCAACUACGAAAGCGUGGGGAGCAAACAGG